CAGCAGCCGCGGUAAUACGUAGGGUCCGAGCGUUGUCCGGAAUUACUGGGCGUAAAGAGCUCGUAGGCGGCUUUGUAAGUUAGAGGUGAAAGCCCGGAGCUCAACUCCGGAACUGCCUUUGAGACUGCAUCACUUGAACGUCGGAGAGGCGAGUGGAAUUCCGAGUGUAGAGGUGAAAUUCGUAGAUAUUCGGAAGAACACCAGUGGCGAAGGCGGCCCACCGGACGUGUAUUGACGCUGAGGUGCGAAAGCGUGGGGAGCAAGCAGGAUUAGAUACCCCAGUAGUCCCUGUCUCUUAUAC
rnacentral:rRNA from 1 species